rnacentral:rRNA from 1 species
CAGUAGCGUAUAUUAAAGUUGUUGCAGUUAAAAAGCUCGUAGUUGGAUUUCUGGUACGCUGCGCCUGGCCCGCCCGCGUUAGCGGUGUGAGUGUCGGUGCGCGGUUGCCAUCCUUCUAGAGAACGUGCCUACCUUUAAUUAGGCCGGGCACGGGAUCUAGAUCAUUUACUUUGAAAAAAUUAGAGUGUUUAAAGCAGGCUUAAGCCGUUGAAUACAUUAGCAUGGAAUAAUAAGAUAAGACUUGGGUCAUUAUUUUGUUGGUUUGCGGAUCGAGGUAAUGAUUAAUAGGGAUAGUUGGGGGUAUUCAUAUUUAAUUGUCAGAGGUGAAAUUCUUGGAUUUAUGAAAGAUGAACUUAGGCGAAAGCAUUUACCAAGGAUGUUUUCAUUAAUCAAGAACGAAAGUUAGGGGAUCGAAGACGAUCAGAUACCAU